AUUGAACGCUGGCGGCAUGCUUUACACAUGUGAGUCGAACGGUAACAGGCCGCAAGGUGCUGACGAGUGGCGAACGGGUGAGUAAUGCAUCGGAACGUGCCCAGUCGUGGGGGAUAACGCAGCGAAAGCUGCGCUAAUACCGCAUACGAUCUAUGGAUGAAAGCGGGGGACCGUAAGGCCUCGCGCGAUUGGAGCGGCCGAUGUCAGAUUAGGUAGUUGGUGGGGUAAAGGCUCACCAAGCCAACGAUCUGUAGCUGGUCUGAGAGGACGACCAGCCACACUGGGACUGAGACACGGCCCAGACUCCUACGGGAGGCAGCAGUGGGGAAUUUUGGACAAUGGGCGCAAGCCUGAUCCAGCAAUGCCGCGUGCAGGAAGAAGGCCUUCGGGUUGUAAACUGCUUUUGUACGGAACGAAAAGGCUCUGGUUAAUACCUGGGGCUCAUGACGGUACCGUAAGAAUAAGCACCGGCUAACUACGUGCCAGCCGCCGCUGUAACAC
rnacentral:rRNA from 1 species